AUUGAACGCUGGCGGAAUGCUUUACACAUGCAAGUCGAACGGCAGCACGGACUUCGGUCUGGUGGCGAGUGGCGAACGGGUGAGUAAUGUAUCGGAACGUGCCCAGUCGUGGGGGAUAACGUAGUGAAAAUUACGCUAAUACCGCAUACGAUCUAUGGAUGAAAGCGGGGGAUCGCAAGACCUUGCGCGAUUGGAGCGGCCGAUAUCAGAUUAGGUAGUUGGUGGGGUAAAGGCCCACCAAGCCAACGAUUUGUAGCUGGUCUGAGAGGACGACCAGCCACACUGGAACUGAGACACGGUCCAGACUCCUACGGGAGGCAGCAGUGGGGAAUUUUGGACAAUGGGCGAAAGCCUGAUCCAGCCAUUCCGCGUGCAGGAUGAAGGCCCUCGAGUUGUAAACUGCUUUUGUACAGAACGAAAAGGUUUCUACUAAUACUAGGAGCUCAUGACGGUACUGUAAGAAUAAGCACCGGCUAACUACGUGCCAGCCGCCGCCGUAA
rnacentral:rRNA from 1 species